GAUGAACGCUGGCGGCGUGCUUAACACAUGCAAGUCGAACGAUGAAGCCCAGCUUGCUGGGUGGAUUAGUGGCGAACGGGUGAGUAACACGUGAGUAACCUGACCUUAACUCUGGGAUAAGCCUGGGAAACUGGGUCUAAUACCGGAUAGGAGCGUCCACCGCAUGGUGGGUGUUGGAAAGAUUUAUCGGUUUUGGAUGGACUCGCGGCCUAUCAGCUUGUUGGUGAGGUAAUGGCUCACCAAGGCGACGACGGGUAGCCGGCCUGAGAGGGUGACCGGCCACACUGGGACUGAGACACGGCCCAGACUCCUACGGGAGGCAGCAGUGGGGAAUAUUGCACAAUGGGCGCAAGCCUGAUGCAGCGACGCCGCGUGAGGGAUGACGGCCUUCGGGUUGUAAACCUCUUUCAGUAGGGAAGAAGCGAAAGUGACGGUACCUGCAGAAGAAGCACCGGCUAACUACGUG
rnacentral:rRNA from 1 species